CCUACGGGAGGCUGCAGUGGGGAAUAUUGGACAAUGGGGGGAACCCUGAUCCAGCCAUGCCGCGUGUGUGAAGAAGGCCCUCGGGUUGUAAAGCACUUUCAGUGAGGAAGAACGCCUGGUGGUUAAUACCCAUCAGGAAAGACAUCACUCACAGAAGAAGCACCGGCUAACUCCGUGCCAGCAGCCGCGGUAAUACGGAGGGUGCGAGCGUUAAUCGGAAUUACUGGGCGUAAAGCGCGCGUAGGUGGCUUGAUAAGCCGGUUGUGAAAGCCCCGGGCUCAUCCUGGGAACGGCAUCCGGAACUGUCAAGCUAGAGUGCAGGAGAGGAAGGUAGAAUUCCCGGUGUAGCGGUGAAAUGCGUAGAGAUCGGGAGGAAUACCAGUGGCGAAGGCGGCCUUCUGGACUGACACUGACACUGAGGUGCGAAAGCGUGGGUAGCAAACAGGAUUAGAUACCCGGGUAGUC
rnacentral:rRNA from 1 species